rnacentral:rRNA from 1 species
AGCUCCAGUAGCGUAUAUUAAAGUUGUUGCAGUUAAAAAGCUCGUAGUUGGAUUUCUGGCGUGACGCGCCUGGCCCGCCGAUAUAGUCGUGUGAGUGCCGGUGCGCGUCUGCCAUCCUUCUAGAGAACGUUUUUCUCACUUCACUGUGUAGAUUAACGUAAUCUAGAUCUUUUACUUUGAAAAAAUUAGAGUGUUCAAAGCAGGCUUGCGCUAUGAAUACAUUAGCAUGGAAUAAUAAUUUAGGACUUUGUUUCCUAUUUUGUUGGUUUCUAGGAAUGAAGUAAUGAUUGAUAGGGAUAGUUGGGGGUGCUAGUAUUUAGCGGCCAGAGGUGAAAUUCUCGGAUUCGCUAAAGACUAACUUAUGCGAAAGCAUUCACCAAGGAUGUCUUCUUUAAUCAAG